CUAUGAGAAGAAAAACAUAAGGAAGACACUGCAGAACAUUGUUCUGGGGAAAGAUUUUAUGGCCAAGACUUCAAAAUCACCAGCAAUAAAAACAAAAAUAGACAAACGGGGCUACAUCAAACUAAGAUGCUUCUGCAAAAGGCCAAGGAAACAGUCGGCAGAGGGAAGAGGCAGCCACAGAAGGGGAGAAAAUAUUUGCAAACUAUUCAUCUGACAAGGGACACAUAUCCAGAAUCUACAAAGAACUCAAGCAAUUCAACAGGAAAACACACACACACACACACACACACACACACAAGUAACUUGACUGAAAAGCAGGCAAAGGAUUUAAAUAGACAUUUCUCAAAAGAAGACACACAGAUCACCCUGACAUUUAAAAAAAUUCCUGGACCUCACCCAGCCAGGUUCUCCAAUGUGAGCACCUUCAGAGUCACCGGCAGGGCUUGAGAAGGCCCCCGAAUUUGCAUUUCCAGUGGUUCCUGGGUGACACCGACACGGCUGGUCUGGGGGUCAUGUUUUGAGAACAUCACCUUCUCCAGAGAAGAGACCUGGAAGUGAGUCUUAUAAAGCCACAUACAAGAUUGUGUCACACACACACCUGCCUGGGGCCUUGGGGGCUGGAGUAGAAGGCGCAGAGGCUGCUCCAAAAGGAGGAGGCCAGAGGGCACUUCUGCAGGGGGGCUGCAGCACCCACACCAGGAGGGCAGCAGAGUGUUUGCAAACAAGCCACCCAUCCAGACUGCAGCCUGGGGAGGAGGGAGGGGGCCUCUCCAGGCCUCAGGCCGCUGUGCCCACGGUAGGCUGGUGGUGUGAGCCGUCGUCCAUCCAUGAUGGUGAAGAAAGCCUCUCCAGCUCUAAGGCCACCUCCUGUCACCCAGGCAUGGGAGAAAGUGGCUGACGCUGAAGACCCCAGCCCCCUCACCAAGGGAACCCCCAGCCCCAGCCCCUUCUGGAAGGCAUGGACUGCCUGGAGCCCAGCCCGGUCAGCCAGCUGAGCUAAGAGGAUCUGCUGCCACGUGGAGCAGAUCACAACAUCCCCCCGACCCAGCGUCCCCCCACGGACCCCAGCUCAGAGCACACGUUCUCAGAGUGUGGCUCAAAGACCCCCACAGUUGGCCGGGCA
rnacentral:lncRNA from 10 species